rnacentral:tRNA from 1 species
AAAAACUUAGUUAAAUUAUAACGUUAACUUGUCAAGUUAAAAUUAUUCUAAGAUAGUUUUUA